rfam:Planctomycetes bacterium RBG_16_64_10 RBG_16_scaffold_12239, whole genome shotgun sequence.
GGUCAAGCUACUAAGGGCGCAUGGGGGAUGUCUUGGCAUCAGGAGGCGAUGAAGGGCGUGGAAGACUGCGAAAAGCUCGGGGGAGUUGUCAAACAAGCGUUGAGCCCGAGAUUCCCGAAUGAACGCGUGCUGAAUCCAUAGGCGCGCGUGGCAAACGCGGUGAACUGAAACAUCUAAGUAACCGCAGGAAGAGAAAGAAACCUCGAUUUCCUUAGUAGCGGCGAGCGAACAGGAAAGACUGCCCAAACCGUGGGGGUUUUCCCCCGCGGGGUUGUAGGGCCUCUCACAGGGGAGUGACAAAAUUGCAGGCUAGCAGAACGGUUUGGAAAGGCCGACCACAGCGGGUGACAGUCCCGUACGCGACAGUCUGCAAUCUCCCGAGAGGUACCUGAGUAGGUCGGGUCACGUGGAACCCCGACUGAAUCCACGGGGACCAUCCCGUAAGGCUAAAUACUCCCUGAUGACCGAUAGUGAACUCAGUAGGGUGACUGAAAGAUGAGAAGAACCCCUGUUAGGGGAGGAACGUGAACCUGAAACCAUGUGCCUACAAGCGGUCGGAGCACUAUGGCUCUUUGAGCAAUGUGUGACGGCGUGCCUUUUGCAUAAUGAUCCGGCGAGUUACCGUUAGCGGCUUGGUUAAGGCCUUCCGGGCUGGAGCCGAAGGGAAACCGAGUCUGAAUAGGGCGCCAAUUGGUCGCUGGUGGUAGACGCGAAGCUGCGUGACCUAUCCAUGGGCAGGUUGAAGCGCGGGUUAUACCGCGUGGAGGACCGAACCCACCUGGGUUGAAAACCGGGGGGAUGACCUGUGGAGAGGAGUGAAAGUCUAAUCAAACGCAGAGAUAGCUCGUUCUCUCCGAAAUAGCUUUAGGGCUAGCCUCGAGCCACUACGCACCGGGGGUAGAGAUACUGAAUCGGUUUGGGGCCCUUCCCGGGGUACCCUGCUGAACCAAACUCCGAAUACCGGUGUGACUAUCUCGGGAGUCAGUCCGCGAGGGAUAAGCUUCGCGGUCGAGAGGGAAACAACCCAGACCGUCUGUUAAGGUCCCGAAGGCGAACUCAGUCACUAAGGAAGUUGAAUUGCUGAGACAACCAGGAUGUUGGCUUAGAAGCAGCCACCAUUUAAAAAGUGCGUAACAGCNNNNNNNNNNNNNNNNNNNNNNNNNNNNNNNNNNNNNNNNNNNNNNNNNNNNNNNNNNNNNNNNNNNNNNNNNNNNNNNNNNNNNNNNNNNNNNNNNNNNNNNNNNNNNNNNNNNNNNNNNNNNNNNNNNNNNNNNNNNNNNNNAUUAUGCCGGAAUGAGUAACGAUAAAGCAGGUGAGAAUCCUGCUCGCCGAAAGCCUAAGGUUUCCUGGGGAAGGUAAUUCCGCCCAGGGUUAGCCGGAUCCUAAGGUGAGGCCGAAAGGCGUAGCCGAUGGACAGCAGGUUAACAUUCCUGCGCUGCCGAAGUGGACCGAUGGAGGGACGGCGUUUGGAUGGUGAGCGGUACGAAUAGAAAUGUCCGUGGACCGACUCGCCGGUGUGGGAUUGGAAAAUCCGCCCACGUACAGCCGGCGACCGGGACCGACCGCGCUUACGUUCGGGAAGUCAUCUGAAGGACGUCCAAGAAAAGCUUCUAAGGUUUGAAGCUCCGGCAACCGUACUAAAACUGACACAGGUAGGCGAGACGAGAAGUCUAAGGCGCUCGGGAGAACACUGGUUAAGGAACUCUGCAAAAUGGCCCCGUAAGUUCGCGAUAAGGGGUACCGCUGGCGGUCACAAGCUGCUGGCGGUCACAGUAAAUCGGCUUCUGCGACUGUUUAUCAAAAACACAGGACUCUGCUAACUCGCAAGAGGAUGUAUAGAGUCUGACGCCUGCCCGGUGCCGGUAGGUUAAGGAAGAGGGUCAUCCUGACUUGUCAGGAGAAGCUCGCAACCGAAGCCCCGGUAAACGGCGGCCGUAACUAUGACGGUCCUAAGGUAGCGAAGUUCCUUGUCGGGUAAGUUCCGACCUGCAUGAAUGGCGUAACGACAGAAGCACUGUCUCAACCAGUGACCCGGUGAAAUUGUAGUCGUGGUGAAGAUGCCACGUACCCGCAGCUAGACGGAAAGACCCCGUGAACCUUUACUGCAGGCUGAUAUUGGGCUGUGGUCUGUCUUGUGUAGUAUAGGUGGGAGGCUGUGAAGGGAGGGCGCCAGCUCUCCUGGAGCCGCAAGGUGAAAUACCACCCUGGGCACGCUUUAGUUCUAACCCUGAUUCCCGUGAAUCCGGGCAGGGAACAGUGUCAGUUGGGCAGUUUGACUGGGGCGGUCUCCUCCCAAAGAGUAACGGAGGAGCACAAAGGUACCCUCAGCCUGGUUGGCAAUCAGGCAACGAGCGUAAAGGUAGAAGGGUGCUUGACUGCGAGACUCAUCAGUCGAGCAGGUACGAAAGUAGGUCUUAGUGAUCCGGUGGUUCCGUAUGGAAGGGCCAUCGCUCAACAGAUAAAAGGUACUCCGGGGAUAACAGGCUUAUCGCUUCCGAGCGUCCAUAGCGGCGAAGCGGUUUGGCACCUCGAUGUCGGCUCAUCACAUCCUGGGGGUGGAGAAGCUCCCAAGGGUUUGGCUGUUCGCCAAUGAAAGUGGUACGUGAGCUGGGUUCAGACCGUCGUGAGACAGGUCGGUCCCUAUCUGCUGUGGGCGUACGAAACUUGAGGAGGUUCUUCUUUAGUACGAGAGGAUUUGGAAGGACGACCCUCUGGUGUUCCAGUUGUCGCGCUCGCGGCACGGCUGGAUAGCUAAGGUCGGAACGGAUAAACGCUGAAAGCAUCUAAGCGUGAAGCCCGCUCCAAGAUUAGGUUUCGUGGCACGAAAAGUGUGAGAGUCCCCUGGAAGACAACCAGGUCGAUAGGCCGGAUGUGUAAGCACAGUAAUGUGUUCAGCUAACCGGUACUAACGGACGAAUGCUUGGCCAC